rnacentral:misc_RNA from 1 species
AAGUCGUAACAAGGUUUCCGUAGGUGAACCUGCGGAAGGAUCAUUAACAAAUCUAUUCUUCUACAUAAACCCGUUGCAUUGGCCGUGAAUACCAUAAAUUGGGCCAGUUAGGCCUGGUUUGUGGUUGAAACGGAGAAAGGUGGACCCGCAAGGUGAAGCCUUUUCACAUAAACUCGUCUAUUUAUUGUCUAAAUGUUCGUAAUGGUUAUAACAAGUACAACUAUUAACAGUGGAUCUCUUGGCUCCCA